rnacentral:rRNA from 1 species
AGAGUUUGAUCAUGGCUCAGGAUGAACGCUGGCGGCGUGCUUAACACAUGCAAGUCGAACGAGGUUUAAGACUUCGGUUUAAACCGAGUGGCGGACGGGUGAGUAACGCGUGGGUAACCUGCCGUAUGCAGGGGGACAACAGUUAGAAAUGACUGCUAAUACCGCAUAAGCUUACAGUAUCGCAUGAUACAGUGAGAAAAGAUUUAUCGGCAUACGAUGGACCCCGCGUCUGAUUAGCUAGUUGGUGAGGUAACGGCCCACCAAGGCGACGAUCAGUAGCCGACCUGAGAGGGUGACCGGCCACAUUGGGACUGAGACACGGCCCAAACUCCUACGGGAGGCAGCAGUGGGGAAUAUUGCACAAUGGGCGCAAGCCUGAUGCAAGCGACGCCGCGUGAGUGAUGAAGUAUUUCGGUACGUAAAGCUCUAUCAGCAGGGAAGAUAAUGACGGUACCUGACUAAGAAGCCCCGGCUAACUACGUGCCAGCCGCGGC